AUGGACAAGUGUGGUGCCAAAAUGGUCGUUUACAAAAUGAAGAAGAAUCUGGAGGUCCCCGCAACUUUCAUAAGUCCUUUACUGAGCUACCAUGUUCUACUUUGGAUAAUCAUCCUUCUGCUGUUGACCUUGUUAUUGGUGGUAAUUGCUCUGAAAAAAACUGAAAUUAUUCAAAACAUGUUUGAUAUAGAAAAUCAACAACGUUUGUAUUUUGCUACUCAAAAUCCUGAAAUAUCUUUACCUGAUGUUCUUGAUGAUGCCUUUUGCACUCAUAGUGGAGUUUGUACUCCUCCUAUUGGCAUUUCUUCUUGCUAUGGACUAGGGAGCACUGCCGGUUCCAUGGUUGAGUUGAGUUAG
rnacentral:rRNA from 1 species